rnacentral:rRNA from 1 species
GACGAACGCUGGCGGCGUGCUUAACACAUGCAAGUCGAACGGAAAGGCCCUGCUUUUGUGGGGUGCUCGAGUGGCGAACGGGUGAGUAACACGUGAGUAACCUGCCCUUGACUUUGGGAUAACUUCAGGAAACUGGGGCUAAUACCGGAUAGGAGCUCCUGCUGCAUGGUGGGGGUUGGAAAGUUUCGGCGGUUGGGGAUGGACUCGCGGCUUAUCAGCUUGUUGGUGGGGUAGUGGCUUACCAAGGCUUUGACGGGUAGCCGGCCUGAGAGGGUGACCGGCCACAUUGGGACUGAGAUACGGCCCAGACUCCUACGGGAGGCAGCAGUGGGGAAUAUUGCACAAUGGGCGGAAGCCUGAUGCAGCAACGCCGCGUGCGGGAUGACGGCCUUCGGGUUGUAAACCGCUUUCGCCUGUGACGAAGCGUGAGUGACGGUAAUGGGUAAAGAAGCACCGGCUAACUACGUGCCAGCAGCCGCGGUGAUACGUAGGGUGCGAGCGUUGUCCGGAUUUAUUGGGCGUAAAGGGCUCGUAGGUGGUUGAUCGCGUCGGAAGUGUAAUCUUGGGGCUUAACCCUGAGCGUGCUUUCGAUACGGGUUGACUUGAGGAAGGUAGGGGAGAAUGGAAUUCCUGGUGGAGCGGUGGAAUGCGCAGAUAUCAGGAGGAACACCAGUGGCGAAGGCGGUUCUCUGGGCCUUUCCUGACGCUGAGGAGCGAAAGCGUGGGGAGCGAACAGGCUUAGAUACCCUGGUAGUCCACGCUGUAAACGGUGGGUACUAGGUGUGGGGUCCAUUCCACGGGUUCCGUGCCGUAGCUAACGCUUUAAGUACCCCGCCUGGGGAGUACGGCCGCAAGGCUAAAACUCAAAGGAAUUGACGGGGCCCCGCACAAGCGGCGGAGCAUGCGGAUUAAUUCGAUGCAACGCGUAGAACCUUACCUGGGUUUGACAUGGAUCGGGAGUGCUCAGAGAUGGGUGUGCCUCUUUUGGGGUCGGUUCACAGGUGGUGCAUGGCUGUCGUCAGCUCGUGUCGUGAGAUGUUGGGUUAAGUCCCGCAACGAGCGCAACCCUUGUUCACUGUUGCCAGCACGUUAUGGUGGGGACUCAGUGGAGACCGCCGGGGUCAACUCGGAGGAAGGUGGGGAUGACGUCAAGUCAUCAUGCCCCUUAUGUCCAGGGCUUCACGCAUGCUACAAUGGCUGGUACAGAGAGUGGCGAGCCUGUGAGGGUGAGCGAAUCUCGGAAGGUCGGUCUCAGUUCGGAUUGGGGUCUGCAAUUCGACCUCAUGAAGUCGGAGUCGCUAGUAAUCGCAGGUCAGCAACGCUGCGGUGAAUACGUUCCCGGG